rnacentral:rRNA from 1 species
GCUGGCGGCGUGCUUAACACAUGCAAGUCGAACGAACCUUCGGGUUAGUGGCGGACGGGUGAGUAACGCGUGGGAACCUGCCCUCAGGAGGGGGAUAACGGUUGGAAACGGCCGCUAAUACCCCAUAUGCCGAGAGGUGAAAUGAAUUUCGCCUGAGGAUGGGCCCGCGUCUGAUUAGCUAGUUGGUGGGGUAAGAGCCUACCAAGGCGACGAUCAGUAGCUGGUCUGAGAGGAUGAUCAGCCACACUGGGACUGAGACACGGCCCAGACUCCUACGGGAGGCAGCAGUGGGGAAUUUUCCGCAAUGGGCGAAAGCCUGACGGAGCAACGCCGCGUGAGGGAUGAAGGCCUCUGGGCUGUAAACCUCUUUUCUCAAGGAAGAAGACCUGACGGUACUUGAGGAAUAAGCCACGGCUAACUCCGUGCCAGCAGCCGCGGUAAUACGGGAGUGGCAAGCGUUAUCCGGAAUUAUUGGGCGUAAAGCGUCCGCAGGUGGCCCUGUAAGUCUGUCGUUAAAGCGUGGAGCUUAACUCCAUUUAAGCGAUGGAAACUACAGGGCUAGAGUGUGGUAGGGGCAGAGGGAAUUCCCGGUGUAGCGGUGAAAUGCGUAGAUAUCGGGAAGAACACCAGUGGCGAAGGCGCUCUGCUGGGCCAUCACUGACACUCAUGGACGAAAGCCAGGGGAGCGAAAGGGAUUAGAUACCCCUGUAGUCCUGGCCGUAAACGAUGAACACUAGGUGUCGGGGGAAUCGACCCCCUCGGUGUCGUAGCCAACGCGUUAAGUGUUCCGCCUGGGGAGUACGCACGCAAGUGUGGAACUCAAAGGAAUUGACGGGGGCCCGCACAAGCGGUGGAGUAUGUGGUUUAAUUCGAUGCAACGCGAAGAACCUUACCAGGGUUUGACAUCCUGCGAAUCCCUUGGAAACGAGGGAGUGCCUUCGGGAGCGCAGAGACAGGUGGUGCAUGGCUGUCGUCAGCUCGUGUCGUGAGAUGUUGGGUUAAGUCCCGCAACGAGCGCAACCCACGUCGUUAGUUGCCAGCAUUCAGUUGGGCACUCUAGCGAGACCGCCGGUGAUAAACCGGAGGAAGGUGUGGAUGACGUCAAGUCAUCAUGCCCCUUACAUCCUGGGCUACACACGUACUACAAUGCUACGGACAAAGGGCAGCAGGCUCGCGAGAGUUAGCAAAUCCCAUAAACCGUGGCUCAGUUCAGAUCGUAGGCUGCAACUCGCCUACGUGAAGGAGGAAUCGCUAGUAAUCGCAGGUCAGCAUACUGCGGUGAAUACGUUCCCGGGCCUUGUACACACCGCCCGUCACACCAUGGAAGUUGGCCACGCCCGAAGUCGUUACUCCAACCCUUGUGGAGGAGGACGCCGAAGGUGGGGCUGAUGACUGGGGUGAAGUCGUAACAAGGUA